rnacentral:rRNA from 1 species
CGGACGAACGCUGGCGGCGUGGAUUAGGCAUGCAAGUCGGACGGUAGGGCUUUAUCGUAAGAUAGAGUUUGAGAGUGGCGAACGGGUGAGUAACACGUAGGAAUCUACCCUUAAGACGGGGACAACCCAGGGAAACUUGGGCUAAUACCGGAUGAGAGUGCGAGAGAUUGCAUUUAAAAGGAUGGCGAAAGUUGUCGCUUAGGGAUGAGCCUGCGGUCUAUUAGUUAGUUGGUGAGGUAAGGGCUCACCAAGGCGACGAUCAGUAGCCGGCCUGAGAGGGUGAACGGCCACACUGGAACUGAGACACGGUCCAGACUCCUACGGGAGGCAGCAGUGGGGAAUAUUGCACAAUGGAGGGAACUCUGAUGCAGCGACGCCGCGUGAGUGAAGAAGGUCUUCGGAUCGUAAAACUCUGUCCUUGGUGAAGAAAAGGACGGUAGCCAAGGAGGAAGCCCCGGCUAACUACGUG